rfam:Candidatus Thrbacteria bacterium RIFOXYB2_FTLL_45_11 rifoxyb2_full_scaffold_4702, whole genome shotgun sequence.
GGGCCAAUAGCUCAGUUGGUAGAGCAUCUGCUUUGCAAGCAGAGGGUCCAGGGUUCGAGUCCCUGUUGGUCCA